CGGGAAUUUUGGACAAUGGGCGCAAGCCUGAUCCAGCAAUUCCGCGUGCAGGACGAAGGCCUUCGGGUUGUAAACUGCUUUUGUACAGAACGAAAAAGCCUCUUCUAAUACAGGGGGUGCAUGACGGUACUGUAAGAAUAAGCACCGGCUAACUACGUGCCAGCAGCCGCGGUAAUACGUAGGGUGCAAGCGUUAAUCGGAAUUACUGGGCGUAAAUCGUGCGCAGGCGGUUUUGUAAGACAGAGGUGAAAUCCCCGGGCUCAACCUGGGAACUGCCUUUGUGACUGCAAGGCUGGAGUGCGGCAGAGGGGGAUGGAAUUCCGCGUGUAGCAGUGAAAUGCGUAGAUAUGCGGAGGAACACCGAUGGCGAAGGCAGUCCCCUGGGCCUGCACUGACGCUCAUGCACGAAAGCGUGGGGAGCAAAC
rnacentral:rRNA from 1 species